UGUAAAACAGAAACGCGCAUACCGCGCAUGGAGAAACGGGCCUCUGAAUUAGUAUAGAGGACGAUAAUAAUAAUACGGUACGGUACACACAUAUUUUACGCCCCUAAAACUCAGGAUUGAUUAAUGCUGCUUCAUUACAGGAUGGCCGAGUUAGAUAUUGGAAGACAUUGUAGUGUUGCGUCAUGUAACCAACUAGAUUUUUUGCCAUUUGUCUGCGCAAGUUGUUCAGCUAUUUUUUGUUCGGAGCACAAGAGCAAAGAUGCACAUAAUUGUAGCGAGGUAAGCAGCUUUUUUGUAUUUGAAGUCUUGAACUUUGGUCAAACAUGAUUUUUAUUUAUUUAUUUUUCUUCUACAUAACAUAUAAUAUAACAUAAAUUUGAGUAUAACAAAUAUAUAAUAACAAUAAAUCAGGCAAUUAUCAUUUAGCAUAAAAUCAGUAGCAGAAGAUGGAUUGCCUUUGUAAGCAAAAAAAUGCUUGAAAAUAUGACAAAACUGAAACAAAUAUUAAUUAUAUAAUAUGAGCAGAAUGGAUUGUUACAAAUUCUUAGAGUAUCAAUUAAGUAUAUAUAUAUAUUAAAAAAAACCAACACUUGAUAUAAUAUAAUGAAGAAAAAAAACAAUGA